GAAGAAUGUAGGGAGACCUCCAGUGGACCGCACUCCUUCUAGCGAGCCGCGGAAACCAUAGAGAUCAGGGCUCAGCCGGAGGGCCGGCCCACUGCUGUCACGUGGCCUCCAUCCGUGCGCUUUAUUGGCUGGUGCUGGCUUUACGGGGUUGAAUUUUGGACGCUGCCUGCCAUUCGUGGGACCGAGUUUCAGGCAGCUGGAAUAAAGAGAGACAUCGGGGGAAAGCCGCGAGAAGGCCAGCGUCCCUGGCUGGGAGCAGAGCUAGCCGAGUAGGGCGCCCGGCUGUCAAACUGGCCGGCGCAGUGCACGCUGGGCCGCCCCGGAGCGGUCGCAGAGCCCGUCGGGAGUCGUAGUCCGGGACGGGCCCGCGGCAUUGUCCGCGACGCAGCUCGGGAUCCGGGUCGGGGUGUCGGCCGGGUUGCUGCCGGGCACCGUCGAGCGUUAGCCACCCAGCAUUGAGCUGCCAGCGGCUGUUCUCCCUAAGCACCCUCGCUCACGUCGCCUCGCCUCGCCUCGCCUGACCGGCCGCAGCCUUGGAUACCAGCCUUAAAUCGAGCCGACUACGGCCCAGCCCCGCCCGCGGCGAGGUGCGCGGGGUUCGGUGCCAGCCGCUCGCCCCUGGCGGGGCCAGCCUCUUGAUGCACCGGGGACGGGCGCCCCCAUCCGACUCUUCGAGGGGCGGCAGGGCCCCAUCUGUGUCUUUCGCUCUCGAGCCCCCAGCUAGAGUUGGCUUCAGCGGAAUACCUACUGUGCGGGAUUAUUCAACAAGCCGAUUGAUCACAUUCUUCAGCUCUAGCAGUGCAAAGGCUUCACUGAAAAAGAACAUUACAAAUUUUUUUUGAAAGAAAUUUGGGGGGGUGUUUUUUAUGAGUUACAGACUAUGUGCUUUCAGAAUGAGGCAACCGAUUUAAGGAUGUAAGCAUAAUUUAAGGAUAUUGAAAAUGAUAUAGGAAUAAAUUUUGUUUAGUCAUUCAUGGAUUUAUUCAUUUUCAGAUGACUAUGUGUGUGAAUAUUUAAGAAUUCUAAAACCGCAUGGGAUUACUUAUAACUAUAUAGGAGCCUAACACGAUAAUGGAAUCAGAAUAUACUUUGCUGAAGGGAGGAGGCUUUUAACUGAAAGUCUUCUCUCUACGUUUUUAUGUCUCUAACAGGAAUCCACUGAAGACCUACAUUUCCCGGAAGGUUAACAGCCCCCUUCUCAGUUUUCCUGCUGCUCCUAUCAGUGACAAAUCAGCGUAUUAGAACAUGCAUGCUGGCUGAUCAUUCUGAUCAAGUCAACAAGCUUCACAACUUACUCAAUGAGGUCGUCCGUGAGAACUUCACUGUUUUACGGGGACAGGAGCUACUUCUUUGCUGAACUGCAUCACGGUUUCAACUGCUGAGGUUUUCUUCAAGCUUUUGCAUUGUUUGGAAUGUGAAGGGCAUGGCCGAGACACACUUUGAGGUUCCCACUGCAUUGUUACACCUCCCCCCUCACUUCAGGGCCAGGUAACACCAAGAAGGACGCCAUGAGAGCGAAGGCCGUUGGGUCACCGCCCUUUGCUCUCGCGCUGCGCGUCUCCCUGCCAUCAACCGCCGCAACUGGCGCUGGGAGCGGUUGAGGGCGGCCGGCCUCGCGCUGGAACCUCGCCCGCCUCAAGGCUCCUGCGGCGGCACACGGGGCAGGCCAGGACCCGCCCUAGGAGGGCCCCGCUGGAGAUGUGGAAAUGGAGGGACGCGGCACCUGGGCGCUUCCUGGGGCCAGACAACGCCCCCUCAUUGGAACCUCCAUGACCCUGCCUCUGAGAAACCAGCGCGUCCGCAACGAUCACUCCUAAUUUUCGGUAAUACAAACCUGCAGUCCAUGCACUUAGGUAACACCCUUGCUGAAAGGUUUACCUUUGGAGGGUUUAUCCUAAAGCAAAGUAUCCUCAAAUUGCAUGUCUUGCAUUCCCUUUGGAUGGCAUUGAUUUCAUUCCUGCUCAUGCCUUUCAAAAAAUAGUAUGCCCUGUUUUCCUACUCAGUCUGGAGGUUCCAUUAAAGAGUAUUUCUGGCAAAGAUUUUUAGACCUGAAAACACACUCCAAAAUAUAUUUUCUUCUGACUCCAUUCCCAGAGUUUUUCCUACCGCAUUCAAAUGAUUUCUAGAAAUGUUUUUGUUGUAGCCUUGAUCAAUUUCAGUCGAUAAAGCAGCAGAUAGUAAGGGAACAAUUCCACGCUCCCCACCCCUGACUCUGCAACACAGUGCAGAAUUCCAGUUGGCAAUAAAAAACUAGUAGAGAAGGAACUCACUGACUUCAGUUUGUAAUACCGUCAGAAGAAACUUUAAUCGUCACAUCCUUUCUGCUCAUUUGCAGGAUUCCUAUCAUCUGUCUCCACGUGAUAACACUGAAGAGCCUUCACAUUGAUGCAGGCCCAGGGCCUCAAGUGCAGAGACUGAGAGCUCUGCAGGACACAGCAUGGAGCCGCCAUUCCUCUACUGGGUGGAGGAGCAUGUGUCCUCUGAACAGGGGAU
rnacentral:lncRNA from 1 species